CCUACGGGGGGCUGCAGUGGGGAAUAUUGCACAAUGGGCGCAAGCCUGAUGCAGCCAUGCCGCGUGUGUGAAGAAGGCCUUCGGGUUGUAAAGCACUCUCAGCGGGGAGGAAGGCGGUGAGGUUAAUAACCUCAUCGAUUGACGUUACCCGCAGAAGAAGCACCGGCCAACUCCGUGCCAGCAGCCGCGGUAAUACGGAGGGUGCAAGCGUUAAUCGGAAUUACUGGGCGUAAAGCGCACGCAGGCGGUCUGUCAAGUCGGAUGUGAAAUCCCCGGGCUCAACCUGGGAACUGCAUUCGAGACUGGCAGGCUAGAGUCUUGUAGAGGGGGGUAGAAUUCCAGGUGUAGCGGUGAAAUGCGUAGAGAUCUGGAGGAAUACCGGUGGCGAAGGCGGCCCCCUGGACAAAGACUGACGCUCAGGUGCGAAAGCGUGGGGAGCAAACAGGAUUAGAUACCCCUGUAGUC
rnacentral:rRNA from 1 species